rnacentral:rRNA from 1 species
GAUGAACGCUGGCGGCGUGCCUAAUACAUGCAAGUCGAGCGAACAGACGAGGAGCUUGCUCCUCUGACGUUAGCGGCGGACGGGUGAGUAACACGUGGAUAACCUACCUAUAAGACUGGGAUAACUUCGGGAAACCGGAGCUAAUACCGGAUAAUAUAUUGAACCGCAUGGUUCAAUAGUGAAAGACGGUUUUGCUGUCACUUAUAGAUGGAUCCGCGCCGCAUUAGCUAGUUGGUAAGGUAACGGCUUACCAAGGCAACGAUGCGUAGCCGACCUGAGAGGGUGAUCGGCCACACUGGAACUGAGACACGGUCCAGACUCCUACGGGAGGCAGCAGUAGGGAAUCUUCCGCAAUGGGCGAAAGCCUGACGGAGCAACGCCGCGUGAGUGAUGAAGGUCUUCGGAUCGUAAAGCUCUGUUAUUAGGGAAGAAAAACUGUGUAAGUAACUAUGCACGUCUUGACGGUACCUAAUCAGAAAGCCACGGCUAACUACGUG